rnacentral:rRNA from 1 species
GACGAACGCUGGCGGCGCGCUUAACACAUGCAAGUCGAGCGAUGAAAUUUCGACAGAUCCCUUCGGGGUGAAGAUCAAAUGGAUUAGCGGCGGACGGGUGAGUAACACGUGAGUAACCUGCCUUUGACAUUGGGAUAGCCUCGGGAAACUGGGAUUAAUACCAAAUGACACUAACUGAUCACAUGAUCAAUUAGUCAAAGAAAUUCGGUCAAAGAUGGACUCGCGGCUGAUUAGCUAGUUGGUGAGGUAACGGCCCACCAAGGCGACGAUCAGUAGCCGGCCUGAGAGGGUGAUCGGCCACAUUGGAACUGAGACACGGUCCAAACUCCUACGGGAGGCAGCAGUGGGGAAUAUUGCACAAUGGGGGAAACCCUGAUGCAGCGACGCCGCGUGAGCGAAGAAGGCCUUCGGGUCGUAAAGCUCUUUUAUGAGGGAAGAUAAUGACGGUACCUCAAGAAAAAGCCCCGGCUAACUACGUG